GAUGAACGCUAGCUACAGGCUUAACACAUGCAAGUCGAGGGGUAGCAGGGUAGCAAUACCGCUGACGACCGGCGCACGGGUGAGUAACACGUAUCCAACCUUCCCACAACUCAGGGAUAGCCUUUCGAAAGAAAGAUUAAUACCUGAUAGUACUUAAGAGAGGCAUCUUUUUUAAGUUAAAGAUUUAUCGGUUAUGGAUGGGGGUGCGUUCCAUUAGAUAGUUGGUGAGGUAACGGCUCACCAAGUCUUCGAUGGAUAGGGGUUCUGAGAGGAAGGUCCCCCACAUUGGUACUGAGACACGGACCAAACUCCUACGGGAGGCAGCAGUGAGGAAUAUUGGUCAAUGGGCGAGAGCCUGAACCAGCCAAGUAGCGUGAAGGAUGAAGGUCCUAUGGAUUGUAAACUUCUUUUAUAGUAGAAUAAAGUGAGCCACGUGUGGUUUUUUGUAUGUAUACUAUGAAUAAGGAUCGGCUAACUCCGUGCCAGCCGCCGCGGUAAUAC
rnacentral:rRNA from 1 species